UUUGAAGAUUGAAAUUGACAUGGAGUUGUGCGAGGUCCUUGCUUAUCCCCAUGAUUUUACUCAGCACAAAUGGCUUGUGACAGUAUAGUGCACUGGUAAUUACAACGAAACAUGACGACGACAACAACAAUAAAACAUAUUUUGAAGAAAAUAGAACGAUCUUCUUGCAAUAGCAAGUGGAAAGUAAUCACGCGCAAUGAAAACGAAUGUCUGUAGUUGGAACACUUUUUUUUUCAGAUGUUCUAUGCUGUUUUUCCUCGGUUUCAAUUAUCCAAGCAUAUUUUGUGUAGUAGCGACGCUAUUACGCUAAAACAAGGUACCAUUUAUAAAAAGGAGACUAAAACAAAGACACAACAUGUAUUGAAAUAUUUAGACUUUCUUUUACUGCGAUGAAGUUGAGAAAUUCUACUAAAGACGAGAGGCGGUAUAUAGCCGACCGACAAUGUCAUGAAAACAAUUCCGCUAUUGCUAAACAAAUCAUGAAACUGGACAGAACUUGGGAAAAUAGAAAUUUAUGGCAACAGAUAAAAUUUAACAAUUGUGAUUUAGCAUUUUUCUUUUUUUUGUGGAUUGCUUCUUUGUUCAUCAUGUCUUUGGUAUUCUAGAGUAUUUAUGUAUCACGACUUCAGUUGUAAAUGAUUAUUUUGAUGGUGACUUUGUGAUGUUAUCUUUCGUAAUUUGUAUAUACACCCUUAUAGAGCUGCAUGGCACGAUCGCCAAUCUAAAGUCAUGAACUUCAUUAUAAAAUCACUUUAUUAUCUCAUUAUUUUCAAUUUUAUCAAAAUAAAA